UGAGGAAUAUUGGUCAAUGGACGAGAGUCUGAACCAGCCAAGUAGCGUGCAGGAAGACGGCCCUAUGGGUUGUAAACUGCUUUUAUAAGGGAAUAAAGUGAGUCUCGUGAGACUUUUUGCAUGUACCUUAUGAAUAAGGACCGGCUAAUUCCGUG
rnacentral:rRNA from 1 species